rnacentral:SRP_RNA from 1 species
GCUGGGUGCGGUGGCACGUGCCUGUAGUCACAGCUACUCGGAGGCUCAGGUGGGAGGACUGCUUGAGCCCAGGAGCUCUGGACUAUAGUGCCUAUGCCAAUCGGGUAUCUGCACUAAGUUUGGCAUCAAUAUAGUGACCUCCCAGGAGCAGGGGACCACCAGGUUGCGUAAGGAGGGGUGACCCGGCUCAGGUCAGAAAUGGAGCAGUUCAAAACUCCCGUGCUGAUCAGCAGUGGGAUCGCGUCUGUGAAUAGCCACUGCACUCCAGCCUGGGCAACAUAGCGAGACACCGUCUCU